rnacentral:rRNA from 1 species
UACAGAGGGGGCAAGCGUUGUUCGGAAUUACUGGGCGUAAAGGGCGCGUAGGCGGCCUGUUAAGUCGAACGUGAAAUCCCCGGGCUCAACCCGGGAACUGCGUCCGAUACUGGCAGGCUUGAAUCCGGGAGAGGGAUGCGGAAUUCCAGGUGUAGCGGUGAAAUGCGUAGAUAUCGGGAAGAACACCCGUGGCGAAGGCGGUUCUCUGGGACGGUACUGACGCUGAGACGCGAAAGCGUGGGGAGCGAACAGG